UUUGAUUUAAUUAUUUUUUUUUUAUAAGAAAUUAGUUUUAAUUUGAAUUGUAUUUAUUUAUUUGUUUUUAGUAUUAUUUUGAAUUAAUUUUGUUUAUUAUAGUUUAUUAGUACUGUUAGGGGUUUUAUUUAUUAUUUUUAAAGUUGAAUUUAUUUUGUACCUUUUGUAUCAGGGUGGAUUUAAUUAUUGUUAUUUAUUUAUUUUUCUCGAAUUGGAUAGAUCUAUAAAUAUAUAUUAGUUAAAGUUUUAUAUUUAUUAAUUAUUUAUUUUUAGGUGUGAUAUACUAAUCGUUAUCUAAGAUAUCUAGUUCCUUAAUAAUUGAAUUUAAUUUAGCUGUUAUUUUGUUAUGGUUAUGCUUUUUAUAACUGUAUGUAUUUGAUAGUAAUAUUUUGGGGGAUUAGCUUCAUUUUUAUUUAUUAAAAUUUAUUUUCAUGUUUUUGUAUGUAGGCUUUAUAUUGGUCAUUAUUUUUUAGUAUUUUAUAAUUUAUUAAAAUUUAUUUUUGAUUUAUUUUAGUUUAAUUAUUUAUUAAGGUUAUUUAUUUAAUUUUGUGUUAUUUUUAAUAAUGGUUUAAUUAGUAUAUUGUUUUUUAUGUUGUUAAUAGUUUUUAAAAUAUUUAAAAGGAAUUAGGCAAAGUAUUUAUUAAUUUACUCGCCUGUUUAUCAAAAACAUCUUUUUUUGAUAAUAAUUUAAAAUAUAUCCUGCCCAAUGAUGUUGUUUAAUGGCCGCGGUAUUUUGACCGUGCAAAGGUAGCAUAAUCAUUAGCCUAUUAAUUGUAGGCUUGUAUGAAUGGUUUGACGAAGUAUUAACUGUCUCUUUUGUAAUAUUAUAACUUAAAUACUUAGUUAAAAUGCUGAGAUGUUAUUGUGGGACGAGAAGACCCUAUAGAUCUUUAUAUUUUAUUUUUUUAUUAUUUUUGGCUUAUUUUUGUUGAUUUAAUAAAAUAUUUUGUUGGGGUGACAUUGAGAUAUAUUUAACUCUUUAUUUUUAUUUACAUUGAUUUUUGAUUAAUUGACCUUUUACUAAUGUUAUAAGAUAUAGAUACCUUAGGGAUAACAGCGUAAUUUUUCUUGAGAGUUCAUAUUGACAGAAUAAGUUUGCGACCUCGAUGUUGGAUUAAGAUUAUAAUUAGGUGUAGGUGCUUAGUUGUUAGGUCUGUUCGACCUUUAAAUUCUUACAUGAUCUGAGUUCAAACCGGCGUGAGCCAGGUUGGUUUCUAUCUUUAAUUACUUAUUUUAUAUUAGUACGAAAGGACCAUAUAGAUUAAAUAUUUUAUUUUAUUGAUUAUUUU
rnacentral:rRNA from 1 species